UCCAGCCGGAGUGAGUCAGCCUCGGUCUUAUUAAACCUUCUAAACACUUUAGACACGUGGGAGUGAAGACAAAAGAAUGUCGCCACCAUACUCUGUAUACAUUCUGUGCUCGCGCUCCAGAAUUGUCCUCUAUAAACUAGCCUGUGCGCGUUUUAUAUGCACGGCACUGUUUCAGCGUUUCGCCACGUGUGUUAUAUUUAUCUUAACAGCUGGGCUGGUGUUUUUUUGUGAACUGUAAAUGUCAUUAGAAAUAAUAAUAAAGAAAAUGAAGUAAAUACCCUCAUAGUUCAUGGAAUAGGGUUAGGUUUGCGUCAUGUGGCCCCUGUUAGAAACGAAGCCACUUCUCGUGCUGUUAACUAUUUAAAUGAUUAAGUCAUUGCAUGAAUGUAACGGUUGAUUGACAGACUCAUAACGUCCAGGCCACUUCAUGAAUGUCUUUUGUCGGCUGCAUUUUAGGACAACUCGUUUCAAACAAGGCCUCAGGUUAAAGUGAAGUCAAGUGAAGGUCGUCAGCAAAGCUCACAAGGAACAGGAGAACCAGUCAGCUGGAUUCCUUGUGACGUCUGCACACGGGAGUUGGAGGCUGCUGAUGAGGAGCAAACUGAUGACAUCAGCUCCCUGGUGGUUUAGUUUCUGCUCCUUUGACAGAGAAAUAAAUCGCCUAAUUUGAGACUUAUGUCCUCAAACGCUGGCAGAAGACGACGGCAGAGAAGCAAACUGCUCAUGAGGCAAAGACCGGCCUGGAUCAGCACCGAACGAAGGCAGCAGACGCCAAGCACUCCCCUGUUAGCGGACGGAUCGAUCAGCUGUCUGAGGAAGUGGAGCCGCUCGAGGAGCAGCAGCUGAAACCGGAGGCAGAGUGUGUGAAACCUUAAGAUUAUGGGAAACAAAUGGGUCCCGUGAAGAAAAUAUCGGAGCUCUGAAGAGCGAACUCGGCCGAAAGAGUCGGAGGAAACAAGCAACUCCGCCUGUUUAGUUCAACAGCUUAGGAUUCGGGUCAGCUAGAACCGGCAGCACCAGGAGCAUCGGCACAGAAACCCACCCAG